AUUGAACGCUGGCGGCAGGCUUAACACAUGCAAGUCGAACGAUGAUUUCCCAGCUUGCUGGGAAUGAUUAGUGGCGGACGGGUGAGUAACAUUUAGGAAUCUGCCUAGUAGUGGGGGAUAGCUCGGGGAAACUCGAAUUAAUACCGCAUACGACCUACGGGUGAAAGGGGGCGCAAGCUCUUGCUAUUAGAUGAGCCUAAAUCAGAUUAGCUAGUUGGUGGGGUAAAGGCCCACCAAGGCGACGAUCUGUAACUGGUCUGAGAGGAUGAUCAGUCACACCGGAACUGAGACACGGUCCGGACUCCUACGGGAGGCAGCAGUGGGGAAUAUUGGACAAUGGGGGCAACCCUGAUCCAGCCAUGCCGCGUGUGUGAAGAAGGCCUUUUGGUUGUAAAGCACUUUAAGCAGGGAGGAGAGGCUAAUGGUUAAUACCCAUUAGAUUAGACGUUACCUGCAGAAUAAGCACCGGCUAACUCUGUGCCAGCAGCCGCGGUAAUACAGAGGGUGCGAGCGUUAAUCGGAAUUACUGGGCGUAAAGCGAGUGUAGGUGGCUCAUUAAGUCACAUGUGAAAUCCCCGGGCUUAACCUGGGAACUGCAUGUGAUACUGGUGGUGCUAGAAUAUGUGAGAGGGAAGUAGAAUUCCAGGUGUAGCGGUGAAAUGCGUAGAGAUCUGGAGGAAUACCGAUGGCGAAGGCAGCUUCCUGGCAUAAUAUUGACACUGAGAUUCGAAAGCGUGGGUAGCAAACAGGAUUAGAUACCCUGGUAGUCCACGCCGUAAACGAUGUCUACUAGCCGUUGGGGUCCUUGAGACUUUAGUGGCGCAGUUAACGCGAUAAGUAGACCGCCUGGGGAGUACGGCCGCAAGGUUAAAACUCAAAUGAAUUGACGGGGGCCCGCACAAGCGGUGGAGCAUGUGGUUUAAUUCGAUGCAACGCGAAGAACCUUACCUGGUCUUGACAUAGUGAGAAUCUCUCAGAGAUGAGAGAGUGCCUUCGGGAACUCACAUACAGGUGCUGCAUGGCUGUCGUCAGCUCGUGUCGUGAGAUGUUGGGUUAAGUCCCGCAACGAGCGCAACCCUUUUCCUUAUUUGCCAGCGGGUUAAGCCGGGAACUUUAAGGAUACUGCCAGUGACAAACUGGAGGAAGGCGGGGACGACGUCAAGUCAUCAUGGCCCUUACGACCAGGGCUACACACGUGCUACAAUGGUAGGUACAGAGGGUUGCUACACAGCGAUGUGAUGCUAAUCUCAAAAAGCCUAUCGUAGUCCGGAUUGGAGUCUGCAACUCGACUCCAUGAAGUCGGAAUCGCUAGUAAUCGCAGAUCAGAAUGCUGCGGUGAAUACGUCCCCGGGCCU
rnacentral:rRNA from 1 species